CCUACGGGGGGCUGCAGUGGGGAAUAUUGCACAAUGGGCGCAAGCCUGAUGCAGCCAUGCCGCGUGUGUGAAGAAGGCCUUCGGGUUGUAAAGCACUUUCAGCGGGGAGGAAGGCGUUAAGGUUAAUAACCUUGGCGAUUGACGUUACCCGCAGAAGAAGCACCGGCUAACUCCGUGCCAGCAGCCGCGGUAAUACGGAGGGUGCAAGCGUUAAUCGGAAUUACUGGGCGUAAAGCGCACGCAGGCGGUCUGUCAAGUCGGAUGUGAAAUCCCCGGGCUCAACCUGGGAACUGCGUUCGAAACUGGCAGGCUAGAGUCUUGUAGAGGGGGGUAGAAUUCCAGGUGUAGCGGUGAAAUGCGUAGAGAUCUGGAGGAAUACCGGUGGCGAAGGCGGCCCCCUGGACAAAGACUGACGCUCAGGUGCGAAAGCGUGGGGAGCAAACAGGAUUAGAUACCCCAGUAGUC
rnacentral:rRNA from 1 species